rnacentral:rRNA from 1 species
AAAGGUAGCUAAUGGGCAUACGUCCCUCGGGGGAAAGCGGGGACCUUCGGGCCUCGCACUAUUAGAGCAGCUGAUAUCGGAUUAGCUAGUUGGUGGGGUAACGGCUCACCAAGGCGACGAUCCGUAGCUGGUUUGAGAGGACGACCAGCCACACUGGGACUGAGACACGGCCCAGACUCCUACGGGAGGCAGCAGUGGGGAAUUUUGGACAAUGGGGGAAAUCCCUGAUCCAGCCAUCCUUGGCGUGUGCGAUGAAGGCCUCGGGUUGUAAAGCACUUUUGGCAGGAGAAACGGCAUCGAUAACACCGUGCAACUGACGGUACCCGGCAAGGGCGAACGGCAAUUCACGCCAGCAGCCGCGGCAAUACGGGUGCAAGCAGCACCGGAAUUACUGGGCGUAAAGCGUGCGCAGGCGGUCUGGAAAGAAAGAUGUGAAACUUCCAGAGCUGAACUGGAACCGCAUUUUAACUACCGAGCUAGAGGUAACAGAGGGAGGUGGAAUUCCGCGUAGCAGUGAAAUGCGUAGAUAUGCGGAGGAACACCGAUGGCGAAGGCAGCCUCCUGGGAUAACACUGACGCCUGCACGAAAGCGUGGGAGCAAACAUAGAUUAUGAUACCCUGGUAGUCCACGCCCUAAACGAUGUCAGAAUCUAGCUGCUGGGGCCCGGGCCUUUGGUAGCGCAGCUAACGCGUGAAGUUGACCGCCUGGGGAGUACGGUCGCAAGAUUAUAACUCAAAAAUAUGAAUUGAUGGGGACCCGCACCAAGCGUGGAUGAUGUGGAUUAAUUCGAUGCAACGCGAAAACCUUACCUACCCUUGACAUGUCUGGAAUCCCGAAGAGAUUUGGGAGUGCUCGCAAGAGAACCGGAACACAGGUGCUGCAUGGCUGUCGUCAGCUCGUGUCGAGAUGUUGGGUUAAGUCCUGCAACGAGCAACCUCUUGGGGGUCGCCGAAGUACACAGGGCACUCUGAAUGAGACUGCCGGUGACAAACCGGAGGAAGGUGGGGAUGACGUCAAGUCCUCAUGGCCCUUAUGGGUAGGGCUUCACACGUCAUACAAUGGUCGGGACAGAGGGUCGCCAACCCGCGAGGGGGAGCCAAUCCCAGAAACCCGAUCGUAGUCCGGAUCGCAGUCUGCAACUGACUGCGUGGGAAGUCGGAAUCGCUGGGAACUGCGAUCAGCAUGUCGCGGUGAAUACGUUCCCGGGUCUUGUACACACCGCCCGUCACCAAUCAUGGGAGUGGGUUUUACCAGAAGUAGUUAGCCUAACCGUAAGGAGGGCGAUUACCACGGUAGGAUUCAUGACUGGGUGAAGUCGUAACAAGGCAG